rnacentral:rRNA from 1 species
GUGGGGAAUCUUGCGCAAUGGGCGAAAGCCUGACGCAGCCAUGCCGCGUGAAUGAUGAAGGUCUUAGGAUUGUAAAAUUCUUUCACCGGGGACGAUAAUGACGGUACCCGGAGAAGAAGCUCCGGCUAACUUCGUGCCAGCAGCCGCGGUAAUACGAAGGGGGCUAGCGUUGCUCGUAAUUACUGGGCGUAAAGGGCGCGUAGGCGGACAGCUUAGUCAGAGGUGAAAGCCCAGGGCUCAACCUUGGAAUUGCCUUUGAUACUGGCUGUCUUGAGUUUGGGAGAGGUGAGUGGAACUCCGAGUGUAGAGGUGAAAGUCGUAGAUAUUCGGAAGAACACCAGUGGCGAAGGCGACUCACUGGCCCAAUACUGACGCUGAGGCGCGAAAGCGUGGGGAGCAAACAGGAUUAGAAACCCGAGUAGUCC